CUCUCCCUCUUUCUUCAGGCUUAACACAUGCAAGUCGAGCGGGCCCUUCGGGGUCAGCGGCAGACGGGUGAGUAACACGUGGGAACGUACCCUUUGGUUCGGAAUAACGCUGGGAAACUAGCGCUAAUACCGGAUACGCCCUUUUGGGGAAAGGCUUGCUGCCGAAGGAUCGGCCCGCGUCUGAUUAGCUAGUUGGUGGGGUAAUGGCCUACCAAGGCGACGAUCAGUAGCUGGUCUGAGAGGAUGAUCAGCCACACUGGGACUGAGACACGGCCCAGACUCCUACGGGAGGCAGCAGUGGGGAAUAUUGGACAAUGGGCGCAAGCCUGAUCCAGCCAUGCCGCGUGAGUGAUGAAGGCCUUAGGGUUGUAAAGCUCUUUUGUCCGGGACGAUAAUGACGGUACCGGAAGAAUAAGCCCCGGCUAACUUCGUG
rnacentral:rRNA from 1 species